AAUGCCCUGUCAUUCCAUCUGUCUGUGUAUUUUGUGGUAUGUGGUGACGCCGGUGAAUUUUGACUCACUUUGGGAAUAUUAAUUUUUUAUCCAAGCCCGCGUAUAACUCGUUUUUUUGUUUUAAAAAAUCGACCAACGGUGUGAAGAAUUUCUUGUCAUUUGCGCCCAAUUUCGCUGUAGCGAAAGCCAACUCGGUGUAACAACUACAUCAUCUCAACAAAAUGGGAGACUCAGAUGAUGAAUACGACCGGAAACGUCGUGACAAGUUUCGCGGCGAACGCAGCGCUGGUGGUGGCGGAGAUAGCUACGGACGCGGUGCCGACCGACCAGAUCGUUCAAGAGGCAGAGACGAUUGGCCUGAUCGUGUUCGGCCCCGACAGGAUUACCGGGACUACAGACCUCCACCUAGAGAUAGGGGUUAUUCGCCAGCUCGAGAAGGGCCCACGGUAAAACGUAUGCGUGGCGAUACAUGGGGUGACGAAGGUCGACAUAGAUUUGGAGCACAUGACGGCUAUGGAAUGUACGGUUACGCACAUGAUCACUUUGGAAUGCAUCCAACUGUCGGUCCUUAUGGCCAUCAACAUGCUACACAUCAAAGGGAACCGGUAGUAUCAGGAGAUAUGCAAACACAGCCGUGCAUGAUGACGUUGAAGCAGUUCCUCGCCACACAGGAUGAUUCGAUCUCCGACUCUGACGCAAUAACAAAGUACAACGAGUAUAAACUUGAGUUUAGGCGACAGCAGAUGAACGAAUUUUUCGUUGCACACAAGGACGAAGAAUGGUUUAAGAUCAAAUAUCAUCCAGAAGAAUCGCAAAAGCGAAAGGAAGAACAGCUGUCAUUUUUGAAGCGUCGGUGUGAAGUAUUCUUAGAAUUACUCAAGUCUAAAGAAAUCGGAAAAGUUUCUGUCGAUGCUUCCAAUACCGACGCGUUGCUUCGUUUGCUUGAUACGGUGGUUAUUAAACUGGAGGGAGGCACUGAAGAAGAUUUAAAAGUGCUGGAUAUAAAGCCUUCGGUAGUUGAAGCGGCAGCUCGAACGCCCGCUACACUAAACGAGGAAAAAGUUAAAACCGAAUCGAAGGUGGAUGCAACGGCUAAAGAAUUAGCCGUCAAAAUGGAGGAAGACUCUUCUAAACAAGAGACAGAAACAGAUGAGCUCAGUGUGCCACAGUCUGAAGAAGAUGCAAGAAAUGGCAAUUCUAAAAUCAAAGAGGAACUAUCCAAAUCCAUGGACGAUGGAAAUGAAAAUGGUGACAAGAGCAAAUCGAAUGAUGCACAAAAAAGCGAGAAAGAAAUUGACGAAGUGGAACAUGAAGCACACAAACAUGAAUCUGAAGAUCGUAAGAAACGAAGUCGGUCUGAUUCUGGUUCAAGUUCAUCAUCAUCGUCUUCAUCGUCUUCCAGUGAAUCGGAGGAAGAAAAAGAUGAGCGUAUGAACAAAGAGGAUAAUGAAGAUGAAGAAAUUAUGCGAAUCCCAGAAGAGGAAAAAAAAUCAGAUUCGGCAGAUACGAUGGAUAACAUUAAUCGAGAUAAGGAAGUAGAUGAAGGCAAACCAGUAUGCGACGCGGAAGAUCUAAACACGGCUGAUGAUAGAGAUGAUAAUGCCGACCAGAACAAGGAACAGAAUGAGUUUGAAGAAACCACGAAAGACAAGAAUAGUUCUGACCCCGUAAACGAUGAAAACAAAGAGAAUAGUGAUAAAAAAUCACAACAGGAAGGCGAUUCUAAAGCAGAAACUAUUGAUUUGGCGAAAGAUCCUGCAGAUGGUGGAUCGCGAGCACUGCAUCGCACGAGUUCAAUUUUCCUACGAAAUUUGGCUCCGUCCAUCACGAAGGCGGAAGUGGAGGCUAUGUGUCGUCGCUACAACGGAUUUCUUCGCGUAGCAAUCGCAGAUCCUCUGCUGGAACGUCGCUGGUUCCGACGAGGUUGGGUAACGUUCAAGCGCGAAGUAAACAUCAAGGAAAUUUGUUGGAACUUGAACAACAUUCGUCUAAGAGAUUGUGAACUGGGCGCAAUAGUCAACAAAGAUCUAAGUCGACGAGUGCGCCCGGUAAACGGUAUCACCUGUCACAAAACUGUUGUGCGCAGUGAUAUUAAGCUCGGUGCAAAGAUAGCUCACAACCUGGACGACAAAUGGGGAUUGUGGAAAGAAACUCCGACAGCUGCAUCUGGCACUGGAGAAGCUGGAGAUAAAAAUGGAUCAGAAGUUCAGCCUGAAGAAUCAUUUGGUUUGCAAUCAAAAAAUCCAGUACUGCAAAACAUUACCGAUUAUUUGAUCGAAGAAGCAUCGGCAGAAGAAGAGGAGCUGCUAGGUUUGUCGGAAGACAGCAAAAAGGUUUCGGAGGGCGAGUUAAUUGAGCGCGAUCCUCAGUUGAUAGAAGUGCUCGAUCGAUUGAUCUUGUAUUUGCGGAUUGUGCAUUCGGUCGAUUUCUACAACCAUUGUGAAUAUCCGUACGAAGACGAAAUGCCUAAUCGAUGCGGAAUUAUUCACGCCCGUGGACCACCCUCACAGAGCAAAGUGAUGAGCAACGAAAUUCAGGAAUAUAUUCGCACAUUUGAAGGUAAAAUGGCUUCCUUCCUUACCAGAAUGGUCGAUAUAGACGAGACCGAUAUGAAAAAGCUCGGUGCAAAGGAUGCCGAAGCGGAAGUGGAAAAGUUUAUCACUGCAAACACUCAGGAGUUAGCGAAGGAUAAGUGGUUAUGUCCUUUGUCAGGGAAAAAAUUCAAAGGUCCAGAUUUUGUACGUAAACACAUUUUCAACAAACACGCGGAAAAGGUAGAAGAAGUGCGCAAGGAAGUAGAAUACUUCAACAACUAUCUCAAAGAUUCAAAGCGACCUCAGCUGCCAGAACAUCCAGGUAAUGCCAAGAAACCUGGAUCUGAGGGUGCAACAUCGGCUACUGCUAAUGCAAGCGUCGGUGCAGGAGGAUAUCGCAACCAACCCUUUGGAAUGUCCCAUAGCUAUGCACCCAUGUAUGCUUCAUACGCUGCCGCAUCAAUGAUGGCCCCAAAUCCUCGUGGACGAGCAGGAUUUGGCCGUGGAGGAAGAGACACGGGAGCGGACCCUCGACGACCGAUCGUAGCAUAUAGUGACUUGGAUAUGCCGAAUUUCAAUGACAGCUUUUUCUAGACAUGAUUGAUGUGUAGAAUUCAUCCAACACACUAAUUAUACAUUGCAGCUGAAUAAGACUCUUUUUGAUGAUCCCAUGUAAUAUGGUCCGAAUUCGCUAGGAUGGGAGGUCCUGACUACCGACCAGUAAUUCAUUAUCGGGAUCUAGAUGCUCCUCGCGAACCUGAUGAGUUUUUAUAAAAGAAUUACUUACCGCCAUCGACAAUAUUUAAAACAAAAGCAUAAAUGUAUUCCGUACAUUUUUCAUUAAUUUUUCACCUAACAUAUUACGGAUAUUAUUCCGCUACUGUAUGUAUGAGAGUGUAGACAGGAAAUCAAUCAAUUCAAGUAAUCUUUCUCAUUUAUAAUAGCAUAAAUGCAAAAUAGUGCAUUGUUGUGGGCGAAACUGAAUGAACCGAUAUUUGUAACGAAGGAAAAUGAAUAAAAUGGACUAAUAA